GGGCGAAUGGUCUAGGGGUAUGAUAUUCGCUUUGCAUUGCGACCGUCAAAGGUCCGAAGCUUGCGAAGGGUCCGGGGUUCAAAUCCCCGUUCGUCCA